UGAUGCUCCUGUACAACCAACUGAUGCCCCAGUUGAACCAACACCAAAAACUGAUGGUCCUGUAAAGGCAACUGAUGCUCCUAUUGAGCCAACUGAAGCUCGUGUACAACCAACUGAUUCCCCAGUGGAAACAACUCAGAGAACUGAUGCUCCUGUACCAUUAACUGAUGCUCCAUUUGAACCAUCUGAUAUUCCAGUUGAACAAACUCAUUCUGCAGUUCAACCUACUGACAAAGCAUUUGAGCAUACUGAUACUGCUGUUGAAGCCACUGAUUCUCCAGCUAAAGCCACUUCGUCUACUAAACGUCCAGCCCCAACAACAUCUGCAGUGUCAGUGGGGGUCUGCCAGAUUACAUGCAGUGCAGCAACGGACCCUGGUCUUGUGUGCGGGACUGACGGAAAUACCUACCCAUUCAAGUGUGUUUUGGACCUGCUAUCUUGCCUCAUGCCCCAACUGAAACUUGCAGUACUUUAUGAGGGACCUUGCUUCUAACUAUAUCUGAGAUGCUUUGGUAUUAAAGAUGUAAAGUCCUCUUUUAACUUAUGUGAUGUGACUGAUUCCGGAAUGUUUUGACUUUUAUCGGCUUUUUCUGUUACACUUACUGUUUUUAUCGCACUACAUGUAUUGAUCAAAUGUUACCCUAUUCCACGGGCAUUCUAGAGGGGGGCAAAAUCUUGGUCUGUCUGCAAAGUAAGAAAACGAAGAAUAGAGAAUUGAGAUGAAAGGAAGGGUGAUACAGUACAUUUGUUUUGCGUGACCGUCUGUCAGCAAAUUUCAUGUGGCACCCCAUUCAAAAUCAUCUAGUGGCAUUUGUGACAUCGGGUAUAGUCUUGGCAUUCCUAUCUCUGAUAAUUUUUGCUUCAUAACCUUAGGGAAAAUAAUGUUGAUCUACCAUUUAGCUUCAAUUUUUUUUUGCUGCAUUUGUAUUUACAUGUAAUUUUAACCUAUUAAAAAAAUUUGAACUGUGACAGCUGGUUGUGAAAAUUGGAGGUAUUAAAGGGAAGUUGUCAAAGUCA